rnacentral:lncRNA from 10 species
GAGCCACUGUGCCUGGCCUUACGUAUGAGAUUUCUACAUGGCACAGGGGAAGGGGAUAAGAAAAAAAUACAUAGAGGAAAUGAUAAUCAGAUUUCAUGAAUACAGAGUAAAAACACAGAUCAUAAUGCUGUUAUUCAGUCUCCUUUCCACUGCUCAGCAUUUGAGAUCACUGGGAACCUCAGGACUUCUUCCACAAGCACUGUAUUUGAAGAACACAUUUUCUUUUUAAAGUAUCAUUUUAAAGAAGUAUGGCAGUGCCAACAUAGGCAAAAAUACUUCCAGAUUUACAGGUAUUGGGAGAAUGAUCACUUCAACUCUGCAGAAUGUGCAGGGCAUUAUAAAGUCAUUCAGAUAUUUACCAAGCACCUACUGUGUGCCAGUUGCUAUGCUAGACAAUGGAUUCCUUGUCUAGCCUGGCUUGUCUACAUAGGAUGAAUGAAGAAACUUGCAAAAGCAACUAUAAUCACAACAGAUUUAGCAGCGCCUGAGUCUGUUCCCUGUGCAGCUUAUUGUGUUCACCCCAGAAUUCAAAUACAGCGGCUUCAUCCUAUGAAUGAGACUUCAUCAGAAAACUUAAGCGUAAGAAGCACAAUACCUGUGGCACACCCCGCCACCUGCUGUCUGUCUCCUGUUGUUCCUUCAGCAAGAGGCUGUAGAUCAGAACAGGUGUUUGUUGUAAGGCCAGGACACGAUGUGCAAUUUCCAACUAAUUGAUAAUGGGAAAGCCCAGAAACACGCCCCAGGGGACUGGGGGAGUGGUCGGCUGGUAUUGGCCAAGAUUUCCAGCACCCUGCUAGAAACUCACCAGUAGCAGCCUGGGCCACAAACUAGGCUUUUGAAGCCAACAUUAAGAAAAACAUGAAGGCUUUGGAAGAAGAUGCAUUUGCUUAAGUCUGCCUUCACAAGGGAGCUCCUGACUUCCCUCUGUGACUGUUGAGUCUUAGUACCUGACUCCUGGGCCCAAAAUUGAGGGGAAAGAGGGCACAGGGUCACAACACUGGGCUUGGAGGGGAAGGGGAGAAGAUAGCCAUCAGAGGCCAGGAUUCUUGCCAUCCUUCGGAAACACGCCCUAGCCAGAGGAGGUGCGCUCCCUGCAGUUGGAAUCUCCGGCUGAGGCGAUGAGAGCCCGCCGGGCUCACCUGGCGGUAAGGCCAUCGCAGGUGCGCCUCCUGCAAAGCCUCGAGCUGCACACGCGCCCAGGGGAAAGACGUGACGUUGCUGCACCUGUGGCUAGUCCCUGCGCCUGUGUGUGAGACCUGAGUGGGGCUGUGGAGACCCGAGAGGCUGUGGCUCUUGAGGUGGGUCGGUGGUGGACGUGGCCUUUGCUUCUGUUCUGACCUUGUAGCCUUGGGGCCCCUUGAGACCUUGGAGAACACCUUGCUCACCGCCUCCCUCCGACUGCAGCCAUGUGGACCUAGAGAUGAGGGCAGAGGAUCAGGUAGCGUUCAUGGUUUUUCCCUUGUAACUUAAUGUUUAAAUAAUUUCAGACUUAUAGAAAAGUCCCCAGAAUAGUACAAAGAACUGUGUGUCUGGUACCCG